UGCCAGCCGCCGCGGUAACACGAACCGUGCUAACGUUGUUCGGAAUCAUUGGGCGUAAAGGGUGCGUAGGCGGGCUAUUAAGUCUGAUGUGAAAGCCCACGGCUUAACCGUGGAGAGUCAUUGGAUACUGAUAGUCUUGAAUCACAGAGGGGUCAGUGGAAUUCCAGGUGUAGCGGUGAAAUGCGUAGAUAUCUGGAGGAACAUCGGUGGCGAAGGCGACUGGCUGGCUGUUGAUUGACGCUGAGGCACGAAAGCGUGGGUAGCAAACAGGAUUAGAUA
rnacentral:rRNA from 1 species